rnacentral:rRNA from 1 species
UACGAAGGGGGCUAGCGUUGUUCGGAAUUACUGGGCGUAAAGCGUGCGUAGGUUGUAUGGUUAGUUAGUGGUGAAAGCCCAGAGCUUAACUCUGGAAUUGCCAUUAAAACUGCCAUGCUAGAGAGUGUUAGAGGUGAGUGGAAUUUCUAGUGUAGGAGUGAAAUCCGUAGAUAUUAGAAGGAACAUCAAUGGCGAAGGCAGCUCACUGGGUCACAUCUGACACUGAGGCACGAAAGCGUGGGUAGCAAACAGG